AAUGGGCGCAAGCCUGAUCCAGCCAUGCCGCGUGAGUGAUGAAGGCCUUAGGGUUGUAAAGCUCUUUUAUCCGGGACGAUAAUGACGGUACCGGAGGAAUAAGCCCCGGCUAACUUCGUGCCAGCAGCCGCGGUAAUACGAAGGGGGCUAGCGUUGCUCGGAAUCACUGGGCGUAAAGGGCGCGUAGGCGGCGUUUUAAGUCGGGGGUGAAAGCCUGUGGCUCAACCACAGAAUGGCCUUCGAUACUGGGACGCUUGAGUAUGGUAGAGGUUGGUGGAACUGCGAGUGUAGAGGUGAAAUUCGUAGAUAUUCGCAAGAACACCGGUGGCGAAGGCGGCCAACUGGACCAUUACUGACGCUGAGGCGCGAAAGCGUGGGGAGCAAACAGGAUU
rnacentral:rRNA from 1 species